GGGUUGUGAGGUUAAGCGACUAAGCGUACACGGUGGAUGCCCUGGCAGUCAGAGGCGAUGAAGGACGUGCUAAUCUGCGAAAAGCGUCGGUAAGGUGAUAUGAACCGUUAUAGCCGGCGAUGUCCGAAUGGGGAAACCCAGUGCAAUUCGUUGCACUAUCGUUUGAUGAAUACAUAGUCAAACGAGGCGAACCGGGGGAACUGAAACAUCUAAGUACCCCGAGGAAAAGAAAUCAACCGAGAUUCCCCCAGUAGCGGCGAGCGAACGGGGAGCAGCCCGGAGUCUGAAUCAGCUUGUGUGUUAGUGGAAGCGUCUGGAAAGUCGCAGGGUACAGGGUGAUACUCCCGUACACUAAAGCACACAGGCUGUGAACUCGAAGAGUAGGGCGGGACACGUGGUAUCCUGUCUGAAUAUGGGGGGACCAUCCUCCAAGGCUAAAUACUCCUGACUGACCGAUAGUGAACCAGUACCGUGAGGGAAAGGCGAAAAGAACCCCGGCGAGGGGAGUGAAAAAGAACCUGAAACCGUGUACGUACAAGCAGUAGGAGCCUCUUUAUGGGGUGACUGCGUACCUUUUGUAUAAUGGGUCAGCGACUUAUAUUCUGUAGCAAGGUUAACCGUAUAGGGGAGCCGCAGGGAAACCGAGUCUUAACUGGGCGUUAAGUUGCAGGGUAUAGACCCGAAACCCGGUGAUCUAGCCAUGGGCAGGUUGAAGGUUGGGUAACACUAACUGGAGGACCGAACCGACUAAUGUUGAAAAAUUAGCGGAUGACUUGUGGCUGGGGGUGAAAGGCCAAUCAAACCGGGAGAUAGCUGGUUCUCCCCGAAAGCUAUUUAGGUAGCGCCUCGUGAACUCAUCUUCGGGGGUAGAGCACUGUUUCGGCUAGGGGGUCAUCCCGACUUACCAACCCGAUGCAAACUACGAAUACCGAAGAAUGUUAUCACGGGAGACACACGGCGGGUGCUAACGUCCGUCGUGAAGAGGGAAACAACCCAGACCGCCAGCUAAGGUCCCAAAGUCAUGGUUAAGUGGGAAACGAUGUGGGAAGGCCCAGACAGCCAGGAUGUUGGCUUAGAAGCAGCCAUCAUUUAAAGAAAGCGUAAUAGCUCACUGGUCGAGUCGGCCUGCGCGGAAGAUGUAACGGGGCUAAACCAUGCACCGAAGCUGCGGCAGCGACACUAUGUGUUGUUGGGUAGGGGAGCGUUCUGUAAGCCGUUGAAGGUGGCCUGUGAGGGUUGCUGGAGGUAUCAGAAGUGCGAAUGCUGACAUAAGUAACGAUAAUGCGGGUGAAAAACCCGCACGCCGGAAGACCAAGGGUUCCUGUCCAACGUUAAUCGGGGCAGGGUGAGUCGACCCCUAAGGCGAGGCCGAAAGGCGUAGUCGAUGGGAAACAGGUUAAUAUUCCUGUACUCGGUGUUACUGCGAAGGGGGGACGGAGAAGGCUAUGUUGGCCGGGCGACGGUUGUCCCGGUUUAAGCAUGUAGGCGGAUGUUCCAGGUAAAUCCGGAACGUUAUUAACGCUGAGGUGUGAUGACGAGGCACUACGGUGCUGAAGUGACAAAUGCCCUGCUUCCAGGAAAAGCCUCUAAGCAUCAGGUAACAUCAAAUCGUACCCCAAACCGACACAGGUGGUCAGGUAGAGAAUACCAAGGCGCUUGAGAGAACUCGGGUGAAGGAACUAGGCAAAAUGGUGCCGUAACUUCGGGAGAAGGCACGCUGAUACCAGGUGAAGUGGUUUACCCAUGGAGCUGAAAUCAGUCGAAGAUACCAGCUGGCUGCAACUGUUUAUUAAAAACACAGCACUGUGCAAACACGAAAGUGGACGUAUACGGUGUGACGCCUGCCCGGUGCCGGAAGGUUAAUUGAUGGGGUUAUCCGUAAGGAGAAGCUCUUGAUCGAAGCCCCGGUAAACGGCGGCCGUAACUAUAACGGUCCUAAGGUAGCGAAAUUCCUUGUCGGGUAAGUUCCGACCUGCACGAAUGGCGUAAUGAUGGCCAGGCUGUCUCCACCCGAGACUCAGUGAAAUUGAACUCGCUGUGAAGAUGCAGUGUACCCGCGGCAAGACGGAAAGACCCCGUGAACCUUUACUAUAGCUUGACACUGAACACUGGUCCUUGAUGUGUAGGAUAGGUGGGAGGCUUUGAAGUGUGGACGCCAGUCUGCAUGGAGCCAUCCUUGAAAUACCACCCUUUAAUGGCUGGUGUUCUAACGUGGGCCCGUUAUCCGGGUUGCGGACAGUGUCUGGUGGGUAGUUUGACUGGGGCGGUCUCCUCCUAAAGAGUAACGGAGGAGCACGAAGGUCAGCUAAUCCUGGUCGGACAUCAGGAGGUUAGUGCAAUGGCAUAAGCUGGCUUGACUGCGAGCGUGACGGCGCGAGCAGGUGCGAAAGCAGGUCAUAGUGAUCCGGUGGUUCUGAAUGGAAGGGCCAUCGCUCAACGGAUAAAAGGUACUCCGGGGAUAACAGGCUGAUACCGCCCAAGAGUUCAUAUCGACGGCGGUGUUUGGCACCUCGAUGUCGGCUCAUCACAUCCUGGGGCUGAAGUAGGUCCCAAGGGUAUGGCUGUUCGCCAUUUAAAGUGGUACGCGAGCUGGGUUUAGAACGUCGUGAGACAGUUCGGUCCCUAUCUGCCGUGGGCGCUGGAGAAUUGAGGGGGGCUGCUCCUAGUACGAGAGGACCGGAGUGGACGCAUCACUGGUGUUCGGGUUGUCAUGCCAAUGGCAUUGCCCGGUAGCUAAAUGCGGAAGAGAUAAGUGCUGAAAGCAUCUAAGCACGAAACUUGCCCCGAGAUGAGUUCUCCCUGACCCUUUAAGGGUCCUGAAGGAACGUUGAAGACGACGACGUUGAUAGGCCGGGUGUGUAAGCGCAGCGAUGCGUUGAGCUAACCGGUACUAAUGAACCGUGAGGCUUAACCUUACAACGCCGAAG
rnacentral:rRNA from 1 species